rnacentral:lncRNA from 1 species
AGAAGCAGCUCCUCAUCCUGCUGUCCAAGGUGCGACUGUGCGGGGGGCGGCCCGCGCGGCCGGACCGCGGCCCGGAGCCUCAGCUCAAAGGCAUCGUCACCAAACUGUUCUGCCGCCAGGGUUUCUACCUCCAGGCGAAUCCCGACGGAAGCAUCCAGGGCACCCCAGAGGAUACCAGCUCCUUCACCCACUUCAACCUGAUCCCUGUGGGCCUCCGUGUGGUCACCAUCCAGAGCGCCAAGCUGGGUCACUACAUGGCCAUGAAUGCUGAGGGACUGCUCUACAGUUCGGUCCUACAUGGACUCAGAAGUUGUCCUCCCCCUCCCCCAAAAAGGAUUUGUGCUUUCCAUGAGCUCCUUUCUGCCCAGUGAUGUGUCUUUUUAUCUCUCUGUCUUUGUGCGCCUUUCUGGGUCUUUGUCUCCUUAGCCGCAUUUCACAGCUGAGUGUCGCUUUAAGGAGUGUGUCUUUGAGAAUUACUACGUCCUGUACGCCUCUGCUCUCUACCGCCAGCGUCGUUCUGGCCGGGCCUGGUACCUCGGCCUGGACAAGGAGGGCCAGGUCAUGAAGGGAAACCGAGUUAAGAAGACCAAGGCAGCUGCCCACUUUCUGCCCAAGCUCCUGGAGGUGGCCAUGUACCAGGAGCCUUCUCUCCACAGUGUCCCCGAGGCCUCCCCUUCCAGUCCCCCUGCCCCCUGAAAUGUAGUCCCUGGACUGGAGGUUCCCUGCACUCCCAGUGAGCCAGCCACCACCACAACCUGUCUCCCAGUCCUGCUCUCACCCCUGCUGCCACACACAUGCCCUGAGCAGCCAGGUCCCACUAGGUGCUCUACCCUGAGGGAGCCUAGGGGCUGACUGUGACUUCCGAGGCUGCUGAGACCCUUAGAUCUUUGGGCCUAGGAGGGAGUCAGAGAGGGGGAUGUCUGAAGAUGGUCCUGGCUGAUCACUUCUUUCUUUCCACACUCACACAACGCCAUGCCUUUUCCUGAGAUGGCGCUGGGAGUUCCCACAUGGACAGCCAGGGCAUAAACACUUCCCACCCCGGCUCAGCCAGUUCCUGGAGUCCUGUGCCCCUUUUCAUUGCCACUGAGCCAUUUCUAGAUUCACUGGAGCUCAGGAUUCAUGUGUCCUUCUUUCCCUACUCUACCUUCUACCUUGGUCUGGACACAUUCUGGAACACUGGACACCCUCGCCAGGGCCACUUCUGCACUAGGGCUCUGUGCUGGAACCCAGGCAUGCUGCCAGCCUUUUCUCUGGAUCUGUCAGGCCUCUGUCAUUGACUCAGAUGGACCCCUGGUUUCCAAGUAGAAAGAGGCUAGAUUUGGGCCUUGUCUAGCUGUUGGCUUUGGCCUGAACCGGAACCAGUCUCAGAUGACCACGGGUUUAACCUUCUUAUCCCAGAGACACCCAAUUCUAGAGCUUUAUGGAGCCGUACUUCCCCCUGAAUCCUAGCUCUAGGACAUAGAUCAUGACUCUCAGCCCUUUUACCCAGGAUGGAGCUGGGGCCUGUAUAGCCAUAUUAUUGUUCUAAGUAAGUUCUAGCCCCACCCUCCCGCCUUCUUGAGUGAUACCUAUUACGGAUGAGUUCUGGAAAAGACCCAGCUAUGAUUCAUAAAAACACUUCUGGAUGAAUCAAGAACCAUUUCUUGUUUUUCCUAGAUAAUUCUCUAAAAAUAUGAUUCUUCCAUAUAGAAUGCUAAGCUUAUUUUUACAUGCAGUUUCUAGCUCCUUCAACCCAGCUGAGGUCGUGCCAGGGAGACAGAGUCUGGAGAAGGGCAGAGGAAUUUUGGAAGGAUCCCUGGCUCAUAGUAGGGAAGCUGGGAUGGGGGAGGGGUCAAAAUUAUGGCAUGACUGAACCUGCAUCUGUGUUGGGUGGACAUGAAUACUUAGCUACCUCAGCAGGAAUUCCUUCCAGGUCCCCUUUAAAGCUGAGGUCCUUAGAGUAAUAUGUCCUUAAUAAAAAGGACAAAUGGAUACAGCCUUGACCCUCCCAGUGAGGAGACCCCAAUUCAGCAAUAAGUCUCACCCUUCUCCCCUACAGGUCAGGCCAAGAAGGGUGAAGGCCUCUUGCACUCCAGACCUCAUACGCCCCAACAGCUUCUAAUUGGAUAGAACUUGCUUUACCUUACAGCUCACAACCUCAGCUGGGUUUUAGGUACCCAAAAAGGGCCUGUCUAGAUUUUUUCAGAAAAACGUGGAGUGCUAGGGGCAGCCUGGAAAAGAUGGGGAACCUGCUAGUGAACUAGGAGGGAGACUUCCAUAGCCUCAGACUUGGAUAGGGUAGGCUGAGGGGGCCCUAAGGGAGGGACUAAGGCUCCAAGGCAGGUCACUUUUCCUUAGGCUGUUCUACUUCUGGCUUGUUGCAAGAGGAGUAGAUGCCCCCUCACCCACACAAACCCCACUCAGUCUCCACCCAACUCCUGGCACUGCUCCCAGGGGAUCGGGUCUCCACUCCAGCUUUCUCAAUUAAAGACGAUUUAUACAACUGAAGUGCUGUCUGUCAUCUGUCGGUGGCGGGCUUGGCAGUUGCUCGAGGCAGGAUCAAGUCCCGGGGGCGGGGCGGGUGGG